rnacentral:lncRNA from 1 species
AGCGCCUUCUUCGUCUUCAUGUGAGUUCCCAGGCUCGGCUCGUCGUUGCUCAUGGUUCGAUUCGCCUUGUUUUCCUGUGGUGUGGUGUGGCGUCGCAUCCUGACCGAGGAUUUGCUCAUGGUAAUUUCUGUGUUCGAUCAUAGUCAUGCACUUACUUGGGUUUGAGUUAAGAUCAUUUCAGUGAGCAUUGUUGAAUUUCAUUGAUCUGUAAGAUCUGAUUCGUUGGCUUUCCUAGUGACAUUACUUGUACAGCGAAUGGUAGCAAGGGCCAACACUAAAUUGCUGCUCGCUACAGCAGACAAUUACAGAUAUUAGAUAGAGAUUUUUCUAAACAAGCUACAUAGUCAUGCACUUACUUGGGUUUGAGUUAAGAUCAUUUCAGUGAGCNNNNNNNNNNUUAUAGUUUACAACAGCUCCAAUCAGCAUAAGUUUAGCAUUUUCGUUUGACUGCGCUAAAGUGUGGCCAUACUACAAUGCUUGUUACACAUGAAUCAACUAAGCAGAGUAUUACCGUCGUACUUCUGUAUUGCUCUCUUUAAUAAUAUUGCAUCAUCAGCCUGCAUGUAUCAUCUCCUUUUGGUCAUGAGGAUAAGGACAUUUCUUUUCUCCCCUGGCUUAAAAGAAUGGGAGUUUGUGAGGGAGGUUCUCUCACUGUAUGUGAACACCGGUCUGAUGUUACGCAAAUGUUUUUUUUAUGACGCGAGGGAAGAGCUACUGAUUUCUAACCAUGCUUCCUGAAUACCUGAUACAGAGCUCCGUAAGUGGUAUUGUUUAUCUGAUAAUCCAUGGCCUAUUUGAUAAUAUAGUUGAAAAUUUGAAUAGCUAGUGUGCUAAGUCUCUUAUAGUUUCAGAAAGACAUGAUUGUAUCUGUCCUGUACUGUUAAUCCUGAAGAUAAAGCUCAUAUGUAUAUGAAAUGCCUGGUUCACUGAGCUCUUAUAGUUUCAAUAUAUUUUCAUUGUAGAAUGAAAGCAUAAAUGGCCAUUACGAAAAUGCAUCCUUCAUGUGUGUUGAUGUUUUUAUAUUUGUUUCUGAUGUUUUUAUAUUUGUUUCCUUUUGAUUGAUUCAUGUGUAGUGUAAUGUUCUUGUAGGUUGACAAGUUGUGCCAUCUCCAGCAUUUUUCAUAGGAGAGUGAAUGAAGUCCAUUGUAAUAUUGGGAUAGUAGCAGAUGUGCCAUUGUUUUAUUGUGCAAUGUUGUGCGUUCUUGCUAUAUUCAUGUGUAAGGAAAUGUAUUCAUGAGAUGAGUUAUUGUAUUAUGUAAACCUGGGAGAUAUAUUAUGUGAUGUUAUAUGAUGG